CAUGCAGUCGAGCGGUAGCACAGAGAGCUUGCUCUCGGGUGACGAGCGGCGGACGGGUGAGUAAUGUCUGGGAAACUGCCUGAUGGAGGGGGAUAACUACUGGAAACGGUAGCUAAUACCGCAUAACGUCGCAAGACCAAAGUGGGGGACCUUCGGGCCUCAUGCCAUCAGAUGUGCCCAGAUGGGAUUAGCUAGUAGGUGGGGUAACGGCUCACCUAGGCGACGAUCCCUAGCUGGUCUGAGAGGAUGACCAGCCACACUGGAACUGAGACACGGUCCAGACUCCUACGGGAGGCAGCAGUGGGGAAUAUUGCACAAUGGGCGCAAGCCUGAUGCAGCCAUGCCGCGUGUGUGAAGAAGGCCUUCGGGUUGUAAAGCACUUUCAGCGGGGAGGAAGGCGUUAAGGUUAAUAACCUUGUCGAUUGACGUUACCCGCAGAAGAAGCACCGGCUAACUCCGUGCCAGCAGCCGCGGUAAUACGGAGGGUGCAAGCGUUAAUCGGAAUUACUGGGCGUAAAGCGCACGCAGGCGGUCUGUCAAGUCGGAUGUGAAAUCCCCGGGCUCAACCUGGGAACUGCAUUCGAAACUGGCAGGCUAGAGUCUUGUAGAGGGGGGUAGAAUUCCAGGUGUAGCGGUGAAAUGCGUAGAGAUCUGGAGGAAUACCGGUGGCGAAGGCGGCCCCCUGGACAAAGACUGACGCUCAGGUGCGAAAGCGUGGGGAGCAAACAGGAUUAGAUACCCUGGUAGUCCACGCCGUAAACGAUGUCGAUUUGGAGGUUGUGCCCUUGAGGCGUGGCUUCCGGAGCUAACGCGUUAAAUCGACCGCCUGGGGAGUACGGCCGCAAGGUUAAAACUCAAAUGAAUUGACGGGGGCCCGCACAAGCGGUGGAGCAUGUGGUUUAAUUCGAUGCAACGCGAAGAACCUUACCUGGUCUUGACAUCCACAGAACUUUCCAGAGAUGGAUUGGUGCCUUCGGGAACUGUGAGACAGGUGCUGCAUGGCUGUCGUCAGCUCGUGUUGUGAAAUGUUGGGUUAAGUCCCGCAACGAGCGCAACCCUUAUCCUUUGUUGCCAGCGGUUCGGCCGGGAACUCAAAGGAGACUGCCAGUGAUAAACUGGAGGAAGGUGGGGAUGACGUCAAGUCAUCAUGGCCCUUACGACCAGGGCUACACACGUGCUACAAUGGCAUAUACAAAGAGAAGCGACCUCGCGAGAGCAAGCGGACCUCAUAAAGUAUGUCGUAGUCCGGAUUGGAGUCUGCAACUCGACUCCAUGAAGUCGGAAUCGCUAGUAAUCGUAGAUCAGAAUGCUACGGUGAAUACGUUCCCGGGCCUUGUACACACCGCCCGUCACACCAUGGGAGUGGGUUGCAAAAGAAGUAGGUAGCUUAACCUUCGGGAGG
rnacentral:rRNA from 1 species